CAGAGUUGCAAAACUCCCACAAACCAUCGCGAAUCUUGCCCGUACGGUUGCCUCGGCGCUGGCGGUCCGGAAGGCCCUCGGGCCCCCCGGAUCCUCGGGUCUCCCGCUCGCGGGAGGCUGCCCGCCGGAGUGCCGAAACCAAACUCUUGAUAUUUUAUGUCUCUCUGAGUAAACUUUUAAAUAAGUCA
rnacentral:misc_RNA from 1 species